GCAUAAUCAUUUGCCGUUUAAUUGAUGGCUGGAAUGAAUGAAUAUACGAGAGCUCAACUGUCUCAUUUUUACAAAUAUAAAUUGACCCUCAAGUGAAGAGACUUGAAUUCUUAAAAAAGACGAAAAGACCCUAUAGAGCUUUACCUGAAAUCUAUAUCAUAUAUAAUAAAGGUUUAGUUGGGGCAACUAGAGAGCACCUAAAACCUCUCUUCAAAUUUUCUAAUAACGAUCCGUUUUUACGAUAAGUAGAAAAAGCUACCUUAGGGAUAACAGGCUAAUCCUCUUUAAGAGACCAUAUUGACAAGAGGGA
rnacentral:rRNA from 1 species